rnacentral:lncRNA from 1 species
GAGAUAGAUAGAUAGAUAGAUAGAUAGAUAGAUAGAUAGAUAGAUAGAUAGAUAGAUAGAUAGAGAUAAAGAGAGAGGAGUAGGGGAUAGAUAUAGGUAGGUAGAUAGACAGAGAUAAAGAGAGAGGAGUAGGGGUGAUAGAUAUAGGUAGAUAGAUAGAUAGACAGAGAUAAAGAGAGAGGAGUAGGGGGAUAGAUAUAGGUAGAUAGAUAGACAGAGAUAAAGAGAGAGGAGUAGGGGGAUAGAUAUAGGUAGAUUGAUCGACAGCGAUAAAGAGAGAGGAGGAGGGGGAUAGAUAUAGGUACAUAGAUAGACAGAGAUAAAGAGAGAGGAGUAGGGGGAUAGAUAUAGGUAGAUAGAUAGACAGAGAUAAAGAGAGAGGAGUAGGGGGAUAGAUAUAGGUAGAUAGAUAGACAGAGAUAAAGAGAGAGGAGGAGGGGGAUAUAUAUAGUUAGAUAGAUAAAGAGAGAGGAGGAGGGGGAUAGAUAUAGGUAGAUAGAUAGACAGAGAUAAAGAGAGAGGAGGAGGGGAUAGAUAUAGUUAGAUAGAUAGACAGAGAUAAAGAGAGAGGAGGAGGGGAUAGAUAUAGUUAGAUAGAUAGACAGAGAUAAAGAGAGAGGAGGAGGGGGAUAGAUAUAGGUAGAUAGAUAGACAGAGAUAAAGAGAGAGGAGGAGGGGGGAUAGAUAUAGGUAGAUAGAUAGACAGAGAUAAAGAGAGAGGAGGAGGGGAUAGAUAUAGUUAGAUAGAUAGACAGAGAUAAAGAAAGAGGAGGAGGGGAUAGAUAUAGUUAGAUAGAUAGACAGAAAUAAAGAGAGAGGAGGAGGGGGAUAGAUAUAGUUAGAUAGAUAAAGAGAGAGGAGGGGGAUAGAUAUAGGUAGAUAGAUAGACAGAGAUAAAGAGAGAGGAGGAGGGGGAUAGAUAUAGGUAGAUAGAUAGACAGAGAUAAAGAGAGAGGAGGAGGGGGAUAGAUAUAGGUAGAUAGAUAGACAGAGAUAAAGAGAGAGGAGGAGGGGAUAGAUAUAGUUAGAUAGAUAGACAGAGAUAAAGAGAGAGGAGGAGGGGAUAGAUAUAGUUAGAUAGAUAGACAGAAAUAAAGAGAGAGGAGGAGGGGGAUAGAUAUAGUUAGAUAGAUAAAGAGAGAGGACGGGGAUAGAUAUAGGUAGAUAGAUAGACAGAGAUAAAGAGAGAGGAGGAGGGGGAUAGAUAUAGGUAGAUAGAUAGACAGAGAUAAAGAUAGAGGAGUUGGGGAAUAGAUAAAGGUAGAUAGAUAGACAGAGAUAAAGAGAGAGGAGGAGGGGGAUAGAUAUAGUUAGAUAGAUAAAGAGAGAGGAGGAGGGGGAUAGAUAUAGGUAGAUAGAUAGACAGAGAUAAAGAGAGAGGAGUAGGGGAAUAGAUAUAGGUAGAUAGAUAGACAGAGAUAAAGAGAGAGGAGGAGGGGGAUAGAUAUAGUUAGAUAGAUAAAGAGAGAGGAGGAGGGGGAUAGAUAUAGGUAGAUAGAUAGACAGAGAUAAAGAGAGAGGAGUAGGGGAAUAGAUAUAGGUAGAUAGAUAGACAGAGAUAAAGAGAGAGGAGGAGGGGGAUAGAUAUAGUUAGAUAGAUAAAGAGAGAGGAGGAGGGGGAUAGAUAUAGGUAGAUAGAUAGACAGAGAUAAAGAGAGAGGAGGAGGGGGAUAGAUAUAGUUAGAUAGAUAAAGAGAGAGGAGGAGGG